rnacentral:RNase_P_RNA from 1 species
AGCAGGCUGAACAGCCGCGGGCAUAUUGCGAAAGCACAUGUCCGAGGAAAGUCCGGGCUCCAAAGGGCAAGAAUAACGGCUAACGGCCGCCGGGGGCGACCCCAGGGAAAGUGCAACAGAGAUAUACCGCCUGUUAAGGCAGGUAAGGGUGGAAAGGCGAGGUAAGAGCUCACCGGCGUCAGGGGAACCUGACGGCCCUGCAAACCCUAUUCGGAGCAACACCGUGGAAAGACGCAUGCGCCGGCCCGGCGCGUCUUUAGGAGGUGGCAUUGAGCGCAGGCGGCAACGCCGCGCCAAGAUAGAUGGCUGUUCACGACAGAACCCGGCUUACAGGCCUGGUC